rnacentral:lncRNA from 1 species
AAGUUGAGGAGUUGGCGCAGGCACACUGACAUCACAGCAGGACUUCUGCGCUGCCUGGAAGGCUGGGCAGCUGGUCUUAGCCCACUGGACCCAGGACUCCUCGCUCAGGAUCCAGGACUGGCGCCACAAGGCUGUGGGGCUGAGUCUCUCAGGAAGCAGAGGCCAUGGCUGGCCACAGCCUUCCGGUCCUUGCAUCCCUGGGCACAGGGAGAAGAUGACUUACGGCAAUGUGAAUCCCCUCCUCCUCAGAGUCAGCCUUGAAUAAAGCCUCCUCAUUUCCACCAAGCCUGGGAGCAGUGCAUGUACAGACCUGAACAGCCAGUGACAGCUGCCUAUCCAGCUCUGCGGUGGUCUAAGUAGAGCAACUGUCUCUCCGUAUCUGCAAGGGCUUCCUGAGGAGUGAGUCGUUGGUGCUAAGAUUAGGAAAGUCUGGACCAAAAAGGACAAGCUGGUCCCCCAAAAUCUGAAAG